rnacentral:rRNA from 1 species
GGAGUUUGGGCCGUGUCUCAGUCCCAAUGUGGCCGUUCACCCUCUCAGGCCGGCUACUGAUCGUCGCCUUGGUGGGCCGUUACCUCACCAACUAGCUAAUCAGACGCGAGUCCAUCUUAGACCACCGGAGUUUUUCACACUGUGCCAUGCGGCACUGUGCGCUUAUGCGGUAUUAGCACCUAUUUCUAAGUGUUAUCCCCCAGUCUAAGGCAGGUUACUCACGCGUUACUCACCCGUCCGCCACUAGGUUUAGCAAAAGCAAGCUCUCGCUAAACCCCGUUCGACUUGCAUGUGUUAAGCACGCCGCCAGCGUUCAUC